GAGUCUGUAACCUGAAGCGUCUGUAACCCGAGGUACCACUGUACUUCUGAUUUUAUGGUGUCCAGCCUACAGAAAGAUAUAUCAGCCAGAUGUUGGUGAAUGCUAAGACAGUGGAACCUCGGGUUGCGAACGUGAUCUGUGCGGGAGGCAUGCUCGCAACCCACACCGUUCGCAAACAGCAGCACCGCGUCUGCGCACGCGUGGCUUGCAGUUUGGCCCUUAUGCUCAAAGCACGAUUUAGCGCUUCUGCGCAUGCACGAGCGCUGAAACCCAGAAGUAAUCUGUUCCGGUACUUCCAGGUUUGGUGCGGUGCGCAACCCGAAAUCGUGUAACCUGAAGUGUCUGUAACCCGAGGUACCACUGUAGUUAGGGUGCUCUCAACUUUAAGCCCAGUUGCCAUGGUCAAUGUAAAGGUGCCUUGGUUUGAUUACCCUUUUCUGCUAUUGCCCUGUAUUGAUUCUGGUGCUUUGGGGCUAUAGUUAAAGUGCUAGAAUUGAAUUCCAUUUGCUCACUUUUCAUGGAUGGCUUUGCCUUUGGUUGGUGUUGGUUUUUUUUUUAACUCUGUAAGGUCAUUGAUUUGUUUGAAUGUGGUACAGUCUUCUCUUGCACUAACCCAAUCAAAAGUGUCCUCCACAUGAAACCUUUUUGUCAUGGUAAAGCUUCUCCUGAGGUUCAUGUGUUUGAUGUAGAGUUUAUUUCAAACCAAAGCAGGUAUAGACAAUUCAAAGUAGUACAAUCACAUGGGAAGACUGUACCAUGUCAGGGACUGAGUAUAUAAAGGAAUCCCAUGUUAGCUAGACCCUGCUAAUUCUUAUUCCCACUCACCCCUUCUUCCUCCUAUUCAGCCAAUUUUACAGUCAAUUUUACAAUUCUACAGUUUUACAGUGAUGGGGGAUUUUAUAAGACCAUUAGAUAGAACUGUGCUUUUAUGUAAAGGAUGAAUAAAAGUAUAAUUGAGGAAAGAAUUGCAUGGAUUUAUAAGCUUAUAAACAGAUAAACUGCAUUUUCAUGCUGGUGGUAUGUAUUUUAAAUACUGCAUAACUGUGCCUCAAUUCUCCUCCAGAGGUUUUGAGAUUCAUAAGAAUAGUUCUUUCAAAAGCCCGUUCAAUAUUUAAGGCUGUGUUUAAUGAAUGCAUGUAAGGCCCCAAAAGCAAGUAUAAGGAAAGCUAAAAAUUGUGGUUAUAGAAAUUUUCCUUAAUCUGGUUUUUUGAACUCUUGUCUUUCUGCUUGAAAGAUUUUUUCCAUGAACAUGUUGCAGUAUUUCUGUUUGUCCCAUAAAAUGCUCAAGGUUUGGACAGUUUUAGAAUCUGGGAAUGACUUCACGCAUUCCCUCAUUGUUUCUACUUGCUAUAAAGGCAACUGCCAGAGUGAAUGGAAGGGCCUUCUUAGGGAUGGCACCCAUGCUUUGAUGUGCUUUUUCACAGACUCACAGAAUCAUAGAGCUGGAAGGGACCACAAGGGUCAUCUAGUGCAACCCUCUGCAAAGCAAGAAUCUUUUUACCCAUGACCAUUUACCAUUUUUAUUCUGCUGUUUUUGUGGGUUUCCUAGCUUUUAGGUUAUAGAACUUGGGUGGUUCUGUGUUAUGUUGCUUCUUGACUUGAUUAUUGAUAAUAGAAAUGUAUUGCAAAGUUCAGAACUUAUCAUAUGAUAAAUUACAAGCAAGCACUUGGUGAUUUGCAUUUCAGAUUUAGAGUAUGGAUCAAAGAAAUCAUCCUUUAAUAUUCAUGAAGGACGAACUGUGAGACCUGGGAAUAGAAAAGCAACAGAACAAUUUGUUUUAUCCUUCUACUGAGCAGAGCAAUAAACUGUAAACAUGAAUAGAUUGAAUUGUUGAACUAUCUUUAAGUUUUUCGGAGUAUGUGCAAAUACCAGCUCAAGCAGGCUGUCAUUUGUUUAAAGUUGGGGGAUAUUUUUUGUUUUACCUCUAAAAGAGGCUGUUUUCUUAUUUUAGACACACCCUUCAUGUUCUUUCCACUGUGCAUAGAGGCCCAAUGACAUGUUGUUCACAAUAUUCUGAUGCCUAUUUUUAUCCUGCAGCUCUGUUCGUAAACAAAGGCACCACGUGUAAUCCCCACCUAUCCAGCAGAAUUAUUUCCAUUUUGCCUGGUUUAAUUUUGGUCAGAAUUGGCAUAUAAAAGUGUACCAUUUCCAUAAAAUCAUUUGCAGCAGGAUGCCUGCAAUGUUUGACAUGCGGGUCGAAAGUGAGUUUAAACAUUUGCCAGGAAAUUAAAUUGUGAAGGGAAACCUAGACACAUUUUACACAAUCAAGACUUAAGGUUUGAAACAUCUGCAAGUAAGCUGUUACAUGCCUCAUGGGUUUUCAUUAUAUUGUUGGGUGUUUUUUCUCUCUUUGCAAACAGUACUGUCCCCACCCACUGCUUUCAGAUGAGAAAAGCAGGAUGUGCCGAUCUUCUCAAGCCAUAGACUUCAAGGUGGCAGAAAGCAAAGGUGCAGGCCACUUUUGCUUGUACCUGAAUCUUGGCGCAUCAGCUCUUGAGUUUAGCCCUGGAAAAGCCUGUGUGAAACCUUCCUCCUGAUUUGAUAAACCAUGUCCCAUAUUUUUUUCCUCAGAGGCUGUGCUUUCUCACCUAUCUCCACUUUAUUCAGUGAUUUGCUUAUUAUCACUUUCUGCAUAUCGAUUUUUAAUCACACAGUUUUAUCUGAUGGUAUUGUAUUUAUAUUGUGCUGUGCUUUCAUCAUAGGGUUUAAUGCUUUGAUCCAAACUUCUGCUUCUCCUCCUCCUCUUGUUGUUUCUGCUUUUUCCUUUAUGUCCCAUUAUAUCCUUAGAGUCAGGCAAAAAUGACCUCUUGUGUAACCUGCCAAGUAAGAACAGGAAAGAACAUUAUUUUUUGUUCCUGCUGCUUCUGUUGCAUAGCUGUGGAACUCCUUUCCCUUAGAGAUUAAUUUGAUCAUUUCCUAGAAGUCAUGUUAAGACUUCUGUUUCACCUACAGCUGUUGUUCAAUAUGCAUGCCAUGGUCUUAGUUUAGAGAGUUUUGAUACCUUGAGAAAAUAGCAUACACAGUCUAAAAAACUCUUUUUGGACAACAUCUAAUUAUUUCUCAGGAGUACCUAUAUUUCUGUCCAUCUCACUGGCUCUACACGGAGUGCCCAUUGUGGUCACCAACACGGUGCCCUCCAGAUGUUGGAGACUACAAGUCCCAUCUGUCCCAGCCAGAAUGGCCCAGCGUUCAAAAU
rnacentral:lncRNA from 1 species